rnacentral:rRNA from 1 species
AGCGGGAAAAGCUCAAAUUUAAAAUCUGGCGUCCUCCGGGCGUCCGAGUUGUAAUCUGGAGAAGCGUUUUCCGCGUCGGACCGUGUACAAGUCUUCUGGAACGGAGCGUCAUAGAGGGUGAGAAUCCCGUCUCUGACACGGACUACCGAUGCUUUUGUGAUGCGCUCUCGAAGAGUCGAGUUGUUUGGGAAUGCAGCUCAAAAUGGGUGGUAAAUUCCAUCUAAAGCUAAAUAUUGGCCAGAGACCGAUAGCGAACAAGUACCGUGAGGGAAAGAUGAAAAGCACUUUGGAAAGAGAGUUAAACAGUACGUGAAAUUGUUGAAAGGGAAACGCUUGAAGUCAGUCGCGUUGGCCGAGACUCAGCCUGGCUUGCCUGGUGUACUUCUCGGUUGACGGGUCAGCAUCAGUUUUGACCGUCGGAUAAAGGUUGGAGGAAUGUGGCAUCCCUCGGGAUGUGUUAUAGCCUCUGAUUCGCAUACGGCGAUUGGGACUGAGGAACUCAGCACGCCUUUAUGGUCGGGGUUCGCCCACGUAACGUGCUUAGGAUGCUGGCAUAAUGGCUUUAAGCGACCCGUCUUGAAACACGGACCAAGGAGUCUAACAUGCCCGCGAGUGUUUGGGUGUUAAACCCGAGCGCGUAAUGAAAGUGAAAGUUGAGAUCCC